GGAGUUUGGUCCGUGUCUCAGUACCAAUGUGGGGGACCUUCCUCUCAGAACCCCUACUGAUCGUCGCCUUGGUGGGCCGUUACCCCGCCAACAAGCUAAUCAGACGCAUCCCCAUCCUAUAGCGGUGAACCUUUGCUUCUCGUCAGAUGCCAUCAAAGAAGAACAUAGAGCAUUAAUUCGACUUUCGCCGGGCUAUUCUCUACUAUAGGGAAGGUUGGAUACGCGUUACUCACCCGUGCGCCGGUCGCCAUCAAAGGAAGCAAGCUUCCUUCAUGCUGCCCCACGACUUGCAUGUGUUAAGCCUGUAGCUAGCGUUCAUC
rnacentral:rRNA from 1 species